UACGGAGGGUGCAAGCGUUGUUCGGAAUUACUGGGCGUAAAGCGCACGUAGGCGGAUUCGUAAGUCAGAUGUGAAAUCCCUGGGCUUAACCUGGGAAUUGCAUUUGAAACUGCGAACCUUGAAUGCCUGAGAGGGUGACGGAAUUCCUGGUGUAGAAGUGAAAUUCGUAGAUAUCAGGAGGAACACCGGAGGCGAAGGCGGUUGCCUGGCGGUGCAUUGACGCUGAGGUGCGAAAGCGUGGGGAGCAAACAGG
rnacentral:rRNA from 1 species